CACCUGAUUUCGAUUACUCACU
rnacentral:miRNA from 1 species